AUUGAACGCUGGCGGCAGGCCUAACACAUGCAAGUCGAGCGAGCGGCGGAAGGGUGUGUAAUGUGUGGGAAACUGCCUGAUGGAGGGGGAUAACUACUGGAAAAGGUAGCUAAUACCGCAUACCAUCAGAUGUGCCCAGAUGGGAUUAGCCAGUAGGUGGGGUAACGGCUCACCUAGGCGACGAUCCCCAGCUGGUCUGAGAGGAUGACCAGCCACACUGGAACUGAGACACGGUCCAGACUCCUACGGGAGGCAGAAUUGGGGAAUAUUGCACAAUGGGCGCAAGCCUGAUGCAGCCAUGCCGCGUGUGUGAAGAAGGCCUUCGGGUUGUAAAGCACUUGCAGCGGGGAGGCGUUACCCGCAGAAGAAGCACCGGCUAACUCCGUGCCAGCAGCCGCGGUAAUUC
rnacentral:rRNA from 1 species